UGGGGGAUAUUGCACAAUGGGGGAAACCCUGAUGCAGCGACGCCGCGUGGAGGAAGAAGGUUUUCGGAUUGUAAACUCCUGUCGUUAGGGACGAUAAUGACGGUACCUAACAAGAAAGCACCGGCUAACUACGUGCCAGCAGCCGCGGUAAAACGUAGGGUGCAAGCGUUGUCCGGAAUUACUGGGUGUAAAGGGAGCGCAGGCGGGAAGACAAGUUGGAAGUGAAAACCAUGGGCUCAACCCAUGAAUUGCUUUCAAAACUGUUUUUCUUGAGUAGUGCAGAGGUAGAUGGAAUUCCCGGUGUAGCGGUGGAAUGCGUAGAUAUCGGGAGGAACACCAGUGGCGAAGGCGGUCUACUGGGCACCAACUGACGCUGAGGCUCGAAAGCAUGGGUAGCAAACAGGAUUAGAUACCCUGGUAGUCCAUGCCGUAAACGAUGAUUACUAGGUGUUGGGGGAUUGACCCCCUCAGUGCCGCAGUUAACACAAUAAGUAAUCCACCUGGGGAGUACGACCGCAAGGUUGAAACUCAAAGGAAUUGACGGGGGCCCGCACAAGCAGUGGAGUAUGUGGUUUAAUUCGAAGCAACGCGAAGAACCUUACCAGGUCUUGACAUCCAAUGCAUAGCACAGAGAUGUGUGAAAUCCUUCGGGACAUCGAGACAGGUGGUGCAUGGUUGUCGUCAGCUCGUGUCGUGAGAUGUUGGGUUAAGUCCCGCAACGAGCGCAACCCUUAUUGCCAGUUACUACGUUAAGAGGACUCUGGCGAGACUGCCGUUGACAAAACGGAGGAAGGUGGGGAUGACGUCAAAUCAUCAUGCCCUUUAUGACCUGGGCUACACACGUACUACAAUGGCGUUAAACAAAGAGAAGCAAGACCGCGAGGUGGAGCAAAACUCAAAAACAACGUCUCAGUUCAGAUUGCAGGCUGCAACUCGCCUGCAUGAAGUCGGAAUUGCUAGUAAUCGCGGAUCAGCAUGCCGCGGUGAAUACGUUCCC
rnacentral:rRNA from 1 species